rnacentral:lncRNA from 1 species
AAAGUGACUCCUGGAUGCGCCGAGACAUUCAUGGACUCUCCUGUAUUUGGACAAGGACAGGGCCAGGAACAAGGUCAGGGACAGGGUCAGGGUCAAGGCCAGGGUUUCCGUGACAUGCACCAGAAAGUAGAGCACCUACGGUGCGGUGACACCAUAGCGACACCACCUGGUGUAGCUCAAUGGUUCUACAACAAUGGAAAUGAGCCUCUCAUUCUUGUUGCAGCCGCUGACAUCGCAAAUAACCUGAACCAGCUUGACCGCAACCUCAGAGUAAGUCUAACAACAACAAAAGAAACACGAAAACGAUUUUUUUCCUUAAGAGUGAACAUUUUUCGGUUUGUGGUUGGAAUAGUUCUUUUUCUUAUCCAGAAUAAAACCUUUUUUUUUUGGUUAGCCCUCAACUACUUUUUAUAGAAAACAAAGUAUUAACUUCUAAGAAGAUAUUGUUUAAACAAUUUAUAGGACUCGAACAUUUAUAUAUCUGCUCGUUGUUCUUAGUUUAUAUUAUUGUAUAUAAUCGAUUUAAAAAUUGAUAAACUCAAAUGAUUCACAUAUAUUAGCUUUAAAUCUUCACUUUUAAUUCCGCCAACCCCCCACCCUUGAGACAAGGCCAAGGCGGUCAGCAACCACAGGAAGAAGGUAAUGGUUUGGAGGAGACUUUGUGCACAAUGCGAUGCACUGAAAACCUUGAUGACCCGUCAAGUGCUGAUGUCUACAAGCCAUCGCUCGGAUACAUUAGCACACUCAACAGCUACAACCUCCCUAUCCUCAGAUUCCUCCGCCUUAGCGCUCUUCGUGGCUCCAUCCAUAACGUAACCUCCACGAAACUUUUAUUUAAAUUUGUGCUGACAUUUUUUUUCCAAAAAAUAAUUAAUUUCACAAUUUGGAUGAAUAACGGCAGAACGCUAUGGUGCUGCCGCAAUGGAACGUGAACGCAAACGCGGCACUCUACGUGACAAAGGGGAAGGCUCAUAUACAGAUGGUGAACGACAACGGACAAAGAGUGUUCGACCAAGAGAUCUCCAAGGGACAGUUACUUGUCGUGCCACAAGGCUUCGCGGUCGUGAAACGUGCCACAAGCCAACAGUUCCAGUGGAUCGAAUUCAAGAGCAACGACAACGCGCAGAUCAACACACUCGCGGGACGCACCUCAGUCAUGAGAGGUUUACCACUUGAAGUUAUAUCCAACGGGUAUCAGAUCUCACCCCAAGAAGCUAGAAGUGUUAAGUUCAGCACCCUUGAGACCACAUUGACUCAAAGCAGUGGUCCUAUGGGCUACGAUAUGCCUAGGGUCGAGGCUUGAAGCAUGAGUUAGUGAUGUAACAGCGUUUGAAUGUUCGGUUUUGUACGGUUUGUGAUAAAAAUAAUGUACAAAAGAAGUUCUACGCUUUAAGGC